rnacentral:rRNA from 1 species
GACGAACGCUGGCGGCGUGCCUAACACAUGCAAGUCGAGCGAGAGACUUCGGUCUCUAGCGGCGGACGGGUGAGUAACACGUGGGCAACCUGCCUCAUAGAGGGGGAUAGCCUCCCGAAAGGGAGAUUAAUACCGCAUAACAUCAUGCUCUCGCAUGGGAGAAUGAUUAAAGGAGAAAUCCGCUAUGAGAUGGGCCCGCGGCGCAUUAGCUAGUUGGUGAGGUAACGGCUCACCAAGGCGACGAUGCGUAGCCGACCUGAGAGGGUGAUCGGCCACAUUGGAACUGAGACACGGUCCAGACUCCUACGGGAGGCAGCAGUGGGGAAUAUUGCACAAUGGAGGAAACUCUGAUGCAGCAACGCCGCGUGAGUGAAGAAGGCCUUCGGGUUGUAAAGCUCUGUCUUUUGGGACGAUAAUGACGGUACCAAAGGAGGAAGCCACGGCUAACUACGUGCCAGCAGCCGCGGUAAUACGUAGGUGGCAAGCGUUGUCCGGAUUUACUGGGCGUAAAGGAUGCGUAGGUGGAUAUUUAAGUGGGAUGUGAAAUACCCGGGCUUAACUUGGGUGCUGCAUUCCAAACUGGAUAUCUAGAGUGCAGGAGAGGAAAGUGGAAUUCCUAGUGUAGCAGUGAAAUGCGUAGAUAUUAGGAGGAACACCAGUGGCGAAGGCGACUUUCUGGACUGUAACUGACACUGAGGCAUGAAAGCGUGGGGAGCAAACAGGAUUAGAUACCCUGGUAGUCCACGCCGUAAACGAUGGGUACUAGGUGUAGGAGGGUCGAACCUUCUGUGCCGUCGUUAACACAUUAAGUACCCCGCCUGGGGAGUGCGGUCGCAAGAUUA